rnacentral:rRNA from 1 species
GCGGAAAGGUCACACCCGAACACAUCCCGAACUCGGAAGUUAAGCUUUCCAGCGCC